AAAUCAGAUUGAACGCUGGCGGCGUGGAUUAGGCAUGCAAGUCGAGGGAGAACCCGCAAGGGGGACACCGGCGAACGGGUAGGACCAAUCUCGGUAACGUACCCUUCGGACGGGGAUAAGCCACGGGAAACUGUGGGUAAUACCCGAUGAUUCUGGCGAGCGUUUAGGGCUCGUCAGCAAAGGUGAGAUUCCACCGGAGGAGCGGCUGAGACGCUAUUAGCUUGUUGGUGAGGUAACGGCUCACCAAGGCGACGAUGGCUAGGGGGUGUGAGAGCACGGCCCCCACCACUGGCACUGAGACACUGGCCAGACACCUACGGGUGGCUGCAGUCGAGAAUCUUCGGCAAUGGGCGCAAGCCUGACCGAACGACGCCGCGUGCGGGAUGAAGGUCUUCGGAUUGUAAACCGCUGUCGGAGGGGAUGAAGUGUAUGGGAGCUAUCUCCUGUAUUUGACAGAGCCUCGGAGGAAGCACGGGCUAAGUUCGUGCCAGCAGCCGCGGUAAUACGAACUGUGCAAACGUUAUUCGGAAUCACUGGGCUUAAAGGGUGCGUAGGCGGUUUGUUAAGUCAGGUGUGAAAAUCCCCCGGCUCAACCGGGGGAACAGCGCUUGAAACUGGCGAACUUGAGUGAGGUAAGGGUACGCGGAACUUCUGGUGGAAGCGGUGAAAUGUGUAGAUAUCAGAAGGAACGCCGGUUGGCGAAAGCGGCGUUACUUGGGCCUUGUCCUGACGCUUGAGGCACGAAAGCUAGGGAAAGUGAACGGGAUUAGAUACCCCCGGUAAUCCUAGCCGUAAACACUUGAGCACUGGAGGGGAGGGGCUUCGGCCUUUUCCCUCGUAGCGAAAGCGUUAAGUGCUCCGCCUGGGGAGUAUGGUCGCAAGGCUGAAACUCAAAUGAAUUGCGG
rnacentral:rRNA from 1 species